rnacentral:rRNA from 1 species
GUCUACGGCCAUGCCACCUUGAACAAGCCCAAUGUCUGAUCUUGGAAGCUAAGCAGUGUUGGGCCUGGUUAGUACUUGGAUGGGAGACCACCUAGAAGACUAGGUGCUGUAGGCG